rnacentral:rRNA from 1 species
UACGUAGGGUCCGAGCGUUGUCCGGAAUUAUUGGGCGUAAAGAGCUCGUAGGCGGUUUGUCGCGUCUGCUGUGAAAUCCCGAGGCUCAACCUCGGGCUUGCAGUGGGUACGGGCAGACUAGAGUGCGGUAGGGGAGAUUGGAAUUCCUGGUGUAGCGGUGGAAUGCGCAGAUAUCAGGAGGAACACCGAUGGCGAAGGCAGAUCUCUGGGCCGUAACUGACGCUGAGGAGCGAAAGCAUGGGGAGCGAACAGG